UAAUGUAUAUAAUGUACUGAAGAAAAAUAUAACAAGUGACGAGUGUGGGGUUCACAAACAUAAUGAAGGCUAUAGUGUAUGUACAACAAUUUAAACCUGAAAGUAGAAAGCAUAUCUACAAUUUCACAACAUCUAAUAGAUUGUAAAUCCAUUAAAGCACAAUGAAACAAUUAAUGUUAACUGAAAUAAUGGUAUGUAUUUUAUGACAAUCCAACACAGAGGAUUCAUUUGUUGCCUAUGGAAGCCCAGAACUGUUAUGAAAUGCAGAAAUCGUUAUAAUAAAGAACUAAAAAUAACAAACAAUGACAAAAAGGAACCAAACACUAGAAAACCUAAACCAAAGGACUAGACUGAGGCCAGGCCAGCAAGACAAAGAAAAGAAAACUCAACACAAAGCUCAAGACCCACUCACAGUGCAAAGGAACUUAAAUAGGGAAACUAAUUAGGGGAACACAAAUCAGGUGUGCACAAACAAGGAAGGAAGUGGGGCAGACAACAAAAACAGAAUGUGAGUGAGGGUGCCCUCUGAUGGUCUGGGGAGGAAUCAUCCAUGGUGGACAUGCCAACAAACAAACAAACUAACAAACAAACAAGCAAAAAAAAGUCUUUUAAGGUGCUAUGUCAUUAUUUCUAGAUAUGAUGGUCUACCAGCUUUACUGGCUCAGACAGUGUUUUGGCAUCUGGUAUCUCAUCAUAGGCUGGAUUUUUCAACAUGGAAUUGGCCCUGUUCACAUUUUUAGCUUUAGCUGGAAGCAGCCUUCGCUUGUAAGGAAGUUGGGGUCAGAGCGCAGGAUCAGCCAUGAUACAGCGCCCCUGGAGCAGAGCUGGUUAAGAGUCUUGCUUAAGGACCCAACGGUGGCAGCUUGGCAGUGCUGGGGCUUGAACCCCCGACCUUCCGAUCAGAAACUCAGAGCCUUAACCGUUGAGCGACCACUGCCCUAAAUUCAUCAGACAGAAACAAUUGGCACUACUGUCAGAGCUGCUGUUAUGGAAAUUUACUCAAGCCCGUCUGACCAGUAGGUUUUAAGAUUUCAAGAACUCGAGAAGUCGAACAGAAGUCAUGAGAGAAGCUGCAGAAAGAUAGCAGUCUCGUGAUCCCAGAAGGAACAUUCGAUCCUGCAUCACAUCGUCUCUGCAUCUUGUGAUUCAGACGCAGCUGUGGAUUAAAGAGUAAUACAUACAAGAGCAUACAAUUCUAUUAACCAGUCUUGAACAGCUUAUUUCGUUUUUAUAAUUUAGAGUGGUUAAAAUGCAUCAAUGCUUUAACACACUAUGUGUAGUCAUUACUGUAUAGUCUUCAGCUGUGAUUACAGCUCAUUUCCUCAAAAUAUAAGUCUACAUUGCAGUCAGAGAAAGACCCAUCUGCUGUAAUGGAAGACACAGAAGUAGAACGCAGAUAAUUUGGUCUCAAAUAGACUCUGCAAAUAACAAACAGCUUUAUAAACUCUCCCAUAAUAACGGACAAACAGCUUGUUAGCAAGAGGAACAUCAUUUGGCACUUCUUAACAAACAAGGGAUAACAAAUAUAAAUGAGCAUUCUUCUCUCUUCAUCUCUGCUUUGCCAGUUUGUGGUGAACAGAUGCAGAGAGCCAUACUGAGAAAUUAAACCUGCAUAGAGCAUUAAAUCUGUCAUCGCCAUUACCCAACCGCAUUAUUCAUUUUUAAAGCUUCGCCCGAAAAAGAGAGGGAGAAGGAAAAUUGAUCAUAUUGUAGGUCCAUGAAAUGUACCCAAAAAAUCCAAUUACAGCCAUCUGUCAAACACAGUGAAUGUUCAGUCAGUCUGCUGUAGUGAUGAAACUCAGGAGAAACCCUGAGUAUGGCUGGGAUAUUUAAUUAACACCUACAGCAACUAGCAUGAUUGUCUUCUCCUUAAACUCCAUUACCAAGCACCAUCACAUCUGUGUCCAGCUGAGAUUGAUGCACAACAACCUGCCUUAACAAUCGUACUACCAAAAGAGACAGAGAUAUAAGGAAUGUGUGUGUGUGUGUGUGUGUGUGUAGUUUAAAGUCAGAGUUGUAUGCCCUUUCUCUCUCCAGAAGGCUUAGUUUCGGUCAGCGAUGAUGAAUGUAGACCUCUGUGCUCCAGCUUCGCCUCCCACUGUGCGUUUGAAGACAAAUGGAGCAUCUUCAAAAGGCCAGAGUUCACAGUGAAAUUCGGACUGUAUUCAGGUGGAACUGAGAUCACACUCUGUGCUACCUUUAAAAUGCUCAGACCAACCUCUAUCUCUGUGUUUAACACUUCUAAGGAUGCACAUCAAUACCAAGUGCGGCGGAAAAGACUGUGCAUACAAAUGCAAACUAACCAGGUUGGUGAGAUACAGUAAUGACAUUCAAGAGGAAAAGUUGCUAAAUGUUGCUCCAACCAAGACCAAAGAUGUAAUUCCAUGAUUGGGCUGCCAUUUAGCCCUUAUAACAUUCAAACAUAUAUUUAAAAAAAAAUAACAUUGGAUGUAAGAAAACAUGCAUUUAACCAAUUAAAAAAGUGUUAACCCCAUCUUAGGCAACAAUAUCUAAUUUUUCAGCAGCUCAUGACCACAGACUUUGGUGGGGAAGGACAACACUAAUAAUGGUAAAAUGACUAUCACACUUGACUAAUGCUAUAGGUUACUACCUGGUGAAUUUGUAGAGUAACCCCAUAAUUGAGAGUUGAGAGUCAGCCAUCAUACAGUCAUCCAGGUUACAGCCUAGCAGCUAGUUUUAAGAAGUUUUAGACAUAACUUUGUUCAACAGCAGGUGUGUUCGCCAGGUUUCAGCACA